GCCUCGUUAGCGCAGUAAGCAGCGCGUCAGUCUCAUAAUCAAUGAUAAUCAAAUCUAGAAAUCUGAAGGUCGUGAGUUCGAUCCUCACACGGGGCA
rnacentral:tRNA from 1 species